rnacentral:rRNA from 1 species
GACAGAGGCCUCGAGCGUUAGGCGGAAUCACUGGGCUUAAAGCGUGUGUAGGUGGAUUUGUAAGUACCUUGUGAAAUCCCAUGGCUCAACCAUGGAACUGCUCGGUAUACUGCGAAUCUUGAGCCACUUAGGGGCUACCGGAACAAAUGGUGGAGCGGUGAAAUGCGUAGAUAUCAUUUGGAACGCCAAUGGUGAAAACAGGUAGCUGGGAGUGUGCUGACACUGAGACACGAAAGCCAGGGGAGCGAACGGG